GACGAACCGAGCGAACGUUGUUCGGAAUAACUGGGCUUAAAGGGCGCGUAGGCGGGCCGCCAAGUUCGAGGUGAAAUCCUCCGGCUCAACCGGAGAACUGCCUCGAAUACUGGAGGCCUCGAGGCGGGUAGGGGCACGCGGAACUGUGGGUGGAGCGGUGAAAUGCGUUGAUAUCCACAGGAACUCCGGUGGCGAAGGCGGCGUGCUGGACCCGAUCUGACGCUGAGGCGCGAAAGCUAGGGGAGCGAACAGG
rnacentral:rRNA from 1 species